AAUCAACGCUGGCGGCGUGCCUCAGACAUGCAAGUCGAACGCGAAAGUCCCCUUCGGGGGAUGAUUAGAGUGGCGCACGGGUGAGUAACACGUAGGUAAUCUACCUUCGAGUGGGGAAUAACUCAGGGAAACUUGAGCUAAUACCGCAUAAUGCAGCGGCACCACAUGGUGACAGUUGUUAAAGCAUUUAUGCGCUUGAAGAGGAGCCUGCGGCGGAUUAGCUAGUUGGUAAGGUAAUGGCUUACCAAGGCUACGAUCUGUAACCGGCCUGAGAGGGCGGACGGUCACACUGACACUGAAUAACGGGUCAGACUCCUACGGGAGGCAGCAGUCGGGAAUCUUGCGCAAUGGGCGAAAGCCUGACGCAGCGACGCCGCGU
rnacentral:rRNA from 1 species